rnacentral:rRNA from 1 species
GAUGAACGCUGGCGGCGUGCCUAACACAUGCAAGUCGAGCGAACAGAUGAGGAGCUUGCUCCUCUGACGUUAGCGGCGGACGGGUGAGUAACACGUGGAUAACCUACCUAUAAGACUGGGAUAACUUCGGGAAACCGGAGCUAAUACCGGAUAAUAUAUUGAACCGCAUGGUUCAAUAGUGAAAGACGGUUUUGCUGUCACUUAUAGAUGGAUCCGCGCCGCAUUAGCUAGUUGGUAAGGUAACGGCUUACCAAGGCAACGAUGCGUAGCCGACCUGAGAGGGUGAUCGGCCACACUGGAACUGAGACACGGUCCAGACUCCUACGGGAGGCAGCAGUAGGGAAUCUUCCGCAAUGGGCGAAAGCCUGACGGAGCAACGCCGCGUGAGUGAUGAAGGUCUUCGGAUCGUAAAACUCUGUUAUUAGGGAAGAACAAAUGUGUAAGUAACUAUGCACGUCUUGACGGUACCUAAUCAGAAAGCCACGGCUAACUACGUGC